UGUCACAAGCAGGUACUCCCAUGACGGGGUUUCAAACCUUUUUGUUCACAUUAUCUGAGCCUGACGGGCAAAAUUCAUGGUCAAAGGCAUUUUAUUUAAAGGGGUAUUGAAGAAGCAAGCUGAUCCUCCACUUGGUAUAGGUUGCCAUUUGGAAAAAUUGGAAAAAAAUUGGUGCUGUAGAGGCUGACAGGUUGGAUGAAUGUUACGUGUUCUGUAAAAGAAAUGUUCUGGAAAUAUAUGCAGUUUGCACAGAACAUUUAAAUAACCCUGUGCCGUGAGAUUAUGUGAUUACAAUCGACAUUCUCUAUUACGUUAUGUAAAUAUAAAAUAAAUUCCUUGUUGGGAACCGAAAAAUUAA